rnacentral:rRNA from 1 species
GACGAACGCUGGCGGCGUGCCUAAUACAUGCAAGUCGAACGCAGUGGGGACGGGGGAGGAACACGUGGGUAACCUCCCAUCAGAGGGGAUAACACUUGGAAACAGGUGCUAAACCGAUACUGAUGGAUGGACCCGCGGUGCAUUAGCUAGUGGGUGAGGUAACGGCUCACCAAGGCCACGAUGCAUAGCCGACCUGAUGGGGUGCUUGGCCACACUGGAGCAGAGACCCGGCCCAGACUCCUACGGGAGGCAGAAGUAGCGAAUCUUCCGCAAUGGACGUAAGUCUGACCUAGCAAUGCCUCGUGAGUGAAGAAGGUUUUCGGAUCGUAAAUCUCUGUUGUUAGAGAAGCGGGAUCUAACCAGAGAGCCACGGCUAACUACGUGCCAGCCGCCGCGGUAAUUC